rnacentral:tRNA from 1 species
GCCGCCUUAGCUCAGUUGGCCAGAGCGUCGCUCUUGUAAAGCGAGGGUCGUCGGUUCGAAUCCGACAGGCGGCUCAA